CCAGACUCCUACGGGAGGCAGCAGUGAGGAAUAUUGGUCAAUGGGCGAGAGCCUGAACCAGCCAAGUCGCGUGAGGGAAGACGGCCCUAUGGAUUGUAAACCUCUUUUGCCGGGGAGCAAAAAGCGGUACGUGUACCGCAUCGAGAGUACCCGGAGAAAAAGCAUCGGCUAACUCCGUGCCAGCAGCCGCGGUAAUACGGAGGAUGCGAGCGUUAUCCGGAUUUAUUGGGUUUAAAGGGUGCGCAGGCGGUGUGUUAACACGGCGGUGAGCGCCCGGGGCCCACCCCCGCCCCGCCGUUGAAACUGGCAGUCUCGAGUUGGAGAGAAGUAUGCGGAAUGCGCGGUGUAGCGGUGAAAUGCAUAGAUAUCGCGCAGAACUCCGAUUGCGAAGGCAGCAUGCCGGCUCCACACUGACGCUGAGGCACGAAAGCGUGGGUAUCGAACAGGAUUAGAUACCCCCGUAGU
rnacentral:rRNA from 1 species